GAAUAUUUUCAGAGAUAAUGAAUGUACCCACUUAAAAGGGUCACCUUGUAUUUACCUACUAAUUUUUAAAUUUCAGUUGUAUAUCUAUAUCACGGACCUAUAGAUAUAUAUCUUUAUCAUAGACUAAGAUAAACUGAUAACAUGGCUAGAAAUAAGAAUGCAUAAGGGAUACAGGACAUAAUUACCCUAUUAAGGUAUCCUUUCAUUUCAGUUAGUUUUUGUGGACAGUCCUACAAUCGUCCUGUCAUUUGUUUCCAGUCCUGUAUAUCUUAGUCUGUGAUCUAUACAUAAAUCAAUAUAAUUAUUAAAGUAGAUAGAGGGACUU